rnacentral:tRNA from 1 species
UGGAGUAUAGCCAAGUGGUAAGGCAUCGGUUUUUGGUACCGACAUGCGAAGGUUCGAUCCCUUCUACUCCAG